ACGGCGAGUGAAGCGGCAACAGCUCAAAUUUUAAAUCUGGCUCCCUCGGGGUCCGAGUUGUAAUUUGCAGAGGGUGCUUUGGCGUCGGUAGCGGUCUAAGUUCCUUGGAACAGGACAUCACAGAGGGUGAGAAUCCCGUACGUGGUCGCUAACCUUCGCCGUGUAAAGCCCCUUCGACGAGUCGAGUUGUUUGGGAAUGCAGCUCUAAAUGGGAGGUAAAUUUCUUCUAAAGCUAAAUACCGGCCAGAGACCGAUAGCGCACAAGUAGAGUGAUCGAAAGAUGAAAAGCACUUUGGAAAGAGAGUCAAAUAGCACGUGAAAUUGUUGAAAGGGAAGCGCUUGCAGUCAGACUUGCCCGUAGUUGCUCACCUAGGCUUUUGCCUGGGGCACUCUUCUGCGGGCAGGCCAGCAUCAGUUUGGGCGGCCGGACAAAGACCUCUGUCAUGUAUCUUCCUUCGGGAUGACCUUAUAGGGGAGGUGUAAUGCGGCCAGCCCGGACUGAGGUCCGCGCUUUUGCUAGGAUGCUGGCGUAAUGGCUGUAAGCGGCCCGUCUUGAAACACGGACCAAGGAGUCUAACAUCUAUGCGAGUGUUUGGGUGUCAAGCCCGGGCGCGCAAUGAAAGUGAACGGAGGUGGGAACCUUUGGGUGCACCAUCGACCGAUCCUGAUGUCUUCGGAUGGAUUUGAGUAAGAGCAUAGCUGUUGGGACCCGAAAGAUGGUGAACUAUGCUUGAAUAGGGUGAAGCCAGAGGAAACUCUGGUGGAGGCUCGCAGCGGUUCUGACGUGCAAAUCGAUCGUCAAAUUUGGGCAUAGGGGCGAA
rnacentral:rRNA from 1 species